rnacentral:piRNA from 1 species
GCAAACAUAUCAGGAAUACAGAAC